UACGAAGGGGGCUAGCGUUGUUCGGAAUCACUGGGCGUAAAGCGCACGUAGGCGGAUCUUUAAGUCAGGGGUGAAAUCCCUGAGCUCAACUCCGAACUGCCUUUGAUACUGGGGGAUCUCGAGUCCGGGAGAGGUGAGUGGAACUGCGAGUGUAGAGGUGAAAUUCGUAGAUAUUCGCAAAGAACACCAGUGGCGAAGGCGGCUCACUGGCCCGAUACUGACGCUGAGGUGCGAAAGCGUGGGGAGCAAACAGG
rnacentral:rRNA from 1 species